GAUGAAGAACGUAGCGAAAUGCGAUAACUAAUGUGAAUUGCAGAAUUCAGUGAAUCAUCGAGUCUUUGAACGCACAUUGCGCCCCUUGGUAUUCCGAGGGGCAUGCCUGUUCGAGCGUCAUUAUAACCCCUCAAGCUCAGCUUGGUGUUGGGGCCUGCUGCACUGGCAGCCCUUAAAAUCAGUGGCGGCGCCAUCUGGCUCUAAGCGUAGUAAUUCUUCUCGCUAUGGAGUCCUGGUGGAUGCUUGCCAUCAACCCCCAAUUUUUCUAUGGUUGACCUCGGAUCAGGUAGGGAUACCCGCUGAACUUAAGCAUAUCAAUAAGCGGAGGA
rnacentral:misc_RNA from 1 species